rnacentral:rRNA from 1 species
UAUAAGUGGCGAACGGCUGAGUAACACGUGGGCAACCUGCCCUUUGCACUGGGAUAGCCUCGGGAAACCGAGGUUAAUACCGGAUACUCCAUAUUUGUCGCAUGGCGAAUAUGGGAAAGCUCCGGCGGCAAAGGAUGGGCCCGCGGCCUGUUAGCUAGCUGGUGGGGGUAGUGGCCUACCAAGGCAAUGAUGGGUAGCCGGGUUGAGAGACCGACCGGCCAGAUUGGGACUGAGACACGGCCCAGACUCCUACGGGAGGCAGCAGGA